ACAGCACAUUUUAAUCCAAAAACUCAAAGAGAUUAAAGAAUUUUUGAUAUAUUAUGAGAGUCUGUCGACAGAUCUGAAUGUGUGAGAUGCUUGUACCAAAAGUAUGAAAGUCAAUGUUUAAUCCAUAUUAAUCAUACAAUGAGACCUUUCCUUCAUUUACAAUCAAAAAUUAUCAACACCUUUACGAAAGUUGUUCUGAAUAGAAGCAUACCAGUCUUUAUAUUUCUGCUGAUAAUUACAGAGGUGAAUGUGCACGUUACAAUUCCUUCUUGUUUGACUGGUGUUAAAAGAGUCCCCACCUGUCCAAGGACAAAAAGAGCAAUGGCUUGUAUUGGAAGCGAAGAAAGGCUGCUCUAGAAUUUCCCUUAAGUGUAAUAACAUGGCUCCUCUCAAAUAUCACUGUCUUAUAAAUGCAUGGAGAAAUGCGACAUUUGAGUUAUGUGGUCCAGAUUCGGAUAUCAUAGGGUUUUCCUGUGCUGAGUACAACGAAGGAGGGGAAAGGAUUCAACCAAAUUAUGAGAAUAAAUGUGACAAUUUCAGCAAUCCCUGUCCAUUUAAAUAUAAAUCAUCUUUGGGAUAUUUAUAAUCAGAGUGUUUUAUUCUACUUCCUGAAAACGACGAAGGGAAGGAAAAACAUCCACGAAAAACUGAGAUAAGAUAUUUUCCAGAACAACAAAUGGAGGAACAAAGGUCAAGUUUUGCCAGUGCAACGCCUUUGUUUAUCCUCUUCCUUUUCACUUUGAUUGUUACUACCCACGUAUGCAUAUAUGUUAAAAGGAAACGAGAUCUCAGAAUUUUGAAUAACUCAGAUGAUAGACAGACCACUGAGGUUGUCCUCUAAACUAAUUGACGCUUUCAUCAUUAUCCAGAUAUACAAUGGUUUAUGAAGAUACUUGUACAUAAACUGUAAAGAAAAUGUAAACCUGAUUCAUUGAAAAACAUAAUCUGCUUUUUUGCUUCUCCAUUUAUAUAAUGAAUAAAUCUAAUACUU